GUUUUGGUUUUGACAAAGCUUCCUGUUCUACAAACAAUUCUUUUUAACCAAGAAGACGUCAUUUCAAUGACUUUAAAGGAUUCUGAUUGACUGGUGGUAGAAGGGGUAUGAAUAUAAAGUGGCAUUAAGGCCUUGCAGACAGACUUAACAAUAACAUGCUGAAGUUGCAAUAACAGUUUGACGAAGACCCACAUAUAAUCCCAUAUUGACGGUUGUAGAAAUUGUACCAACAGAUUUCACUUUGGGAUAUAAUGGCAAGUUGGGAUGAGAAACUUGUUACAGCUGCAAAGCAGGGGAAUAUAAAAGAGGUAGAAAUAUGUGUAAAGAACGGAGCUAACUUGGAAUGUAGAGAUUGGGGUGGAUGGACACCAUUAAUAUGGGCGGCUUGGUACGGACACCUGGAGGUGGUGACUUACCUGGUCACUCACGGCAGUCAGUUAAAC